rnacentral:lncRNA from 1 species
AAUUGACAUGUUUUGAAAGUGUGAGGAUAGACACGAAUGGAAUCAAAGUGGUUAAAGACAUCCAAUUGCCAUUGCUACUUGAAUGCUGAAAUUUUAGUCGAUUGGGUCAAAAAUGAUCAAAUUGAUGCCAAAUUGGGAAUUAAUUGCUCCCAAAUUAAUUUGAUAGCUUGGGAAGCUUCUUUGGAUGAUUUUGCAUGUGUUCGAAUGAAAU